GUCAGAGUGGUGGAAACGGUAUACACAACAGACUUAAAAUCUGUCGCCUUCGGGCUUGGGGGUUCAAGUCCCCCCUCUGACACCA
rnacentral:tRNA from 1 species